CAGUAGCCGCGGGAAUACGGAGGGGGCUAGCGUUAUUCGGAAUUACUGGGCGUAAAGCGCACGUAGGCGGCUUCGCAAGUCAGAGGUGAAAGCCUGGGGCUCAACUCCAGAAUUGCCUUUGAGACUGCGUCGCUCGAAUCCGGGAGAGGUGAGUGGAAUUCCGAGUGUAGAGGUGAAAUUCGUAGAUAUUCGGAAGAACACCAGUGGCGAAGGCGGCUCACUGGACCGGCAUUGACGCUGAGGUGCGAAAGCGUGGGGAGCAAACAGGAUUAGAUACCCGGGUAGUCCCUGUCUCUUAUAC
rnacentral:rRNA from 1 species